UUGUCCAUUUAUAGUCUUCUUCAAUGGGCAAUUUCCUAGACUUUUGAUAGUUUUUUUUUUUUCCGGAUAGACUUGGUGGGUAAAGGCGAUCCUAACCACUGGAUUAUGUCCUGAGAAUGCCAUAAAUGGUUCAGAUUUAAUGGAAAAGGGCUAGAGAUCCGAAUGGCUACAUGUUCAAUAUUUCCUAGAUCUGAUAUUCCAGAGAACAGCAACCAUGUUCAAUCAUUCAUCCUCAAAUUAUGUUUGCACUACAUUAUGUAAUACUUCGGAAGAAGCAUGGAUUUUUAUUGGUCAUUAAUGAUGCCCAUGGGACACUAGUUUGUGGCAAGCAUGGUGGAAAGACUUUUGACAUUUGCACAGCAGCCCCUUCUGCACAGGUUAAUCUGUCUACUGGUCAAAUGGUGGAUUUGAUACCUUGAUGCUUGCCAAACACAGCCAAUAGGCACAAUCAGUGGAAGGGACUGUUUGGUAGGUUGGAUUGGGAAGGAAACUUCCCAACCUCCAUCACAGACCCUCAGCCCAUGGGUAAGGUUGGCAUGUGCUUUCACCUAUGCCUGGUGUUUACUAUACCCCAUACAGAAUGGGAUUCAUCCUAUGCCUGGUAACUCCUCUCCAUUCUUGACAUUUGGUGGGUUUUAGUAGGGAAAGCAUGAACAUACCCAGAUUUUCCAACAGAUGAGCAAUCCCAAUCAUGAUCCCUUGUUUUUAGAAAUGGCCAUUUUAUGCAUGCAAUCUUGAAAUUACAAAAUAAUAAUAAUAAUAAUAAUAAUAAUAAAUUAAUUAAAAAAAUCUGGUUCUUUUACAAAAAUUAUAAAGUAGAAACUCAUACUCAUGAGUCUCAAAUAUAUUAUUAAAUGUUUUGAAAGAAUGUUUCAAUCCUAAAGCACAUUCUUACACUGCAAAAGUAUCACAUAUCUUUUGUUAAUG